UAGCCUUCUUUGAUUGAAUACAGCUUCUCUACCAAUCUGAUAGUAUUGGGGAAAGUUCUAGAUAGCUGUAGACUAUAGGCAAAGAAGUCUUCCUUCUGUCAGCCUCCCUGCACUCACAGUUAUCCCGCUUAACAACCCACAUAGCUGAACGCAACUAAGACUGUCUGGAUUUGCUGUCGCUAAAUGAUGCAAUUCAUGACAUUGCUCUUCACGGCCACAUCACAUAGCAACUGCAAUCUUGGUCCCAAUUGCCACUGUAACCUAAAGACUAGCUGUAGAGUUCAUUGCUAGGAGACAGGUUUAUGUUCUGUUGGGAUAGGAUGGAGGAGAGAGAAAAACAGAGACGAGGGCAAAGAGGAUGCUGGCUUUGGCCAUGGGGCUGAUUUCAGGAAAAGACAGCAGCACUUUAAGGAGCUGGAGAUAGAUGCUGUGUGUAUGUUCCCAUCUGCCCCAAAGCAUAACUGAAGGGCUGGAUAGCCCAAGAAAAUAUUACUUUGGCCCAACUAUGAAUUAUUUGAAAUUAAGUAUCCUAGUCUUCUAGGUGACUCAUGUUGGUAUUGUAUGUGUAAAUGCACUGUCACUCACUUUUCAGCAAUUCAUGAUCUGACUAACAGAAUGACAGAGUUGGAUGGGACCUUGGAGGUCUUCUAGUCCAACCACCUGCUCAGGCAGGAGACUAUACCAUUUCAGACAAAUGGUUGUCCAAUCUCUUCUUAAAAUCUUCCAGUGUUGGAGCAUUCACAACUUCUGGAAGCAAGUUGGUCCACCGAUUAAUUGUUCUAACUGUCAGGAAAGUUCUCCUUAGUUCUAUGUUGCUUCUCUCGAUUAGUUUCCAUCCAUUGUUUCUUGUCCUGCCUUCAGGUACUUUGGAGAAGAGCUUGACUCCUUCUUCUUAGUGGCAAUUCCUGAGAUAUUGGAACACUGCUAUCAUGUCACCCCUAGUCCUUCUUUUCAUUAAACUAGAUACACCCAAUUCCAGCAACUAUUUUUUAUGUUUUAGUUUCCAGUCCCAUAAUCAUCUUUGUUGCUCUUCUCUGCACUUUUUCUAUGGUCUCAACAUCUUUUUUCCAUUUUUUGGUCAUCAAGUGAUCAAAACUGGAUGUAGUAUUCCACGUGUGGCCUUACCAAGGCAUUAUAACGUAGUUGUUAACACUUCACUUGACUACCAGGGAGCAGUGGAAUGUAGAUAGAGAACUAAAAUUGUGCACUCUUUCUUCUCUAUUUUCUAUCCCUCUGCCUGUUCUUUGUUUAUGAUGUUCCCAAUCUCAGGUUGCUUCCUUCUGCCUUUCUUCCUAGACACCCAAGCACAGAGCACCUAUUUGGCACUCUUCCUUGUAGGAUGUAGGUACUAGGCUUUGCCUAUCCCUACCAUGUAUUUCCUGCUAUGGAUGGGUCAGAGAGAAGAUGGAAUGCUGGCCAGUCAGGACCCAUCUCUAUUUGCAAGGAUUUGCCCUCCCCUCCAUGAGGGCGUAAGAAGAAUCUUCAUGAAAGUGUCAUAGAAACAAACAAUUGCCUUUCAUAGUAGUACUUAGUGUUCUAGAACCCAAAGAACAAGUAGGAAAGUCUGGACUGUGUGUCAGGAAUUAGGGUCAAUCUAUAUAUGUGAGAGAUCCAUGAUUAGGUCUCCUAAUGUAAUUUUCUAUAUUAUAAAAGAGAGGCUUGGGCGGUCAGUGCUGCAUUGGAAGUGAGGCACUGAUCUUCCCAUAUACACACACACCUAUAUUUUCCUAGGCAAAUUUCUUCCAAUACUAUUUGCCUUGGAGGUGAAAAUCUGUUAGACCAACACAUUCUGAAAAUACAGGGCAAUAAUUCACACCAAUAAAUAAAAUUGCUUGGAGUCUAAAUAUAUUGUUUUUCAUCUAGAUUAUUUCUGUGUUUCCUUACCAUUUCUUUCUCUUUCUCCUAGAGAAAAUCCAUUAAGAAAGGAAAGUUGCGUAAUGUCUUUUGGCAGCUAAAGCUACAACUUUCAUUUGGCAUCACUUCUGAAUAAGUACAUUUGUCCAUUUUGUUUUAUUUUUAAAACAACAAGAUUAUAGAGUGAGGAAAGGAUGGUGGGGAGAAACUGAUAAAUUCAUACCAACUACUUUGAAGCUCAGAGAGCUAGGUUCACAAAAUUUAUAGCAUUUAUAUCAGUAUGAUGGCCUGCAAUUCCAGACUUAAAAAAGGAUGGACUCCGUACAUCUUUGGACGUGUCUAAAAUGCUACUUUAGAUGAAGUCACAGUCACUUCUUUUAAUUUCUGCCAAAAGAUGACUAUAGGAUUUAGGGACUAGUCUACAUAUGAAAUAAAUAAGACAUAUGAUAUUCUCCUUCUGAAUAAUCAUCAUAUUUAUUUCAGUUAAAGCUGAUAUUCUUUAUCUAGAGAUUUUCAGAAGCCUAGAGGAAAACAGUCUUCACAAAACUGUAUUUAAUAUGCAGGUAAUAGUAUGUUUAAUCUCUUCGAUUCAUGGGGUUCCCAUAUGGAUUAUAUAUAUAAAAGAUAGUUUUGGGAAUGUGGUGAUCAUUAGUCAAAGAACAAAGAACCAUGUAAGCAAUACUUCCCAUACAAAAUUACAUAUACUGAAACAGAUAAUGUUAUUAUCCCUUAAGAUGACCUUCCGCCAAAAGCAAAUAAAAUAUUAACAAAUUUAUGGUUCUCACAAAAAUGAAACUCACUUGCAUUUUUAUAUAUUGUAUGAAUGGAAAUGUAUAUUUUGAUCAAAACAGAGGAAUUCUCUUUUCUUAACCCAGACUAGGGUUACCAAAAUUGUAACAGUGCAAACCUGUAUCUUAUUAAACAAAUGCAAGAAAAAGA